CCUCACAUACAUUAUACUCAACGAGAACCAUUUUGAUUGUUCUUUGCGCAAAUGGGUGUUAUAUCUAAAGGUGACUAGCGAAAGAGAAUUUUUUUUUAUUAAUUAGUGUGCUCACCAAGGAUUCGAACCCUCGUGCCUACGUAUUCUCAUAGUGCAAUGAGAUAGUCAGAGCUUCGUAGAUCGUGGUAGAAAAUAUAGAUGUGUUGGUUGAUUUUAGGGAACCGUUAUAAUCGUGUCCUAGAUGUGUGUAGAUGUUAG
rnacentral:lncRNA from 1 species